AGUGAACGCUGGCGGUAGACCUAACACAUGCAAGUCGAACGGCAGCACAGUAAGAGCUUGCUCUUACGGGUGGCGAGUGGCGGACGGGUGAGGAAUACAUCGGAAUCUACUUUUUCGUGGGGGAUAACGUAGGGAAACUUACGCUAAUACCGCAUACGACCUACGGGUGAAAGCAGGGGAUCUUCGGACCUUGCGCGAUUGAAUGAGCCGAUGUCGGAUUAGCUAGUUGGCGGGGUAAAGGCCCACCAAGGCGACGAUCCGUAGCUGGUCUGAGAGGAUGAUCAGCCACACUGGAACUGAGACACGGUCCAGACUCCUACGGGAGGCAGCAGUGGGGAAUAUUGGACAAUGGGCGCAAGCCUGAUCCAGCAAUACCGCGUGGGUGAAGAAGGCCUUCGGGUUGUAAAGCCCUUUUGUUGGGAAAGAAAAGCAGCAGGUGAAUACCCCGCUGUUCUGACGGUACCCAAAGAAUAAGCACCGGCUAACUUCGUG
rnacentral:rRNA from 1 species